rnacentral:rRNA from 1 species
AAUGAACGCUGGCGGCAUGCCUAACACAUGCAAGUCGAACGAGACCUUCGGGUCUAGUGGCGCACGGGUGCGUAACGCGUGGGAACCUGCCCUUAGGUUCGGAAUAACUCCCCGAAAGGGGUGCUAAUACCGGAUAAUGUCUUCGGACCAAAGAUUUAUCGCCUUUGGAUGGGCCCGCGUUGGAUUAGCUAGUUGGUAGGGUAAAAGCCUACCAAGGCGACGAUCCAUAGCUGGUCUGAGAGGAUGAUCAGCCACACUGGGACUGAGACACGGCCCAGACUCCUACGGGAGGCAGCAGUGGGGAAUAUUGGACAAUGGGCGAAAGCCUGAUCCAGCAAUGCCGCGUGAGUGAUGAAGGCCUUAGGGUUGUAAAGCUCUUUUACCAGGGAUGAUAAUGACAGUACCGGGAGAAUAAGCUCCGGCUAACUCCGUG